rnacentral:rRNA from 1 species
UAGCAUAUCCAUAGCGGAGGAAAAGAAACCAACAGGGAUUGCCUCAGUAACGGCGAGUGAAGCGGCAACAGCUCAAAUUUGAAAUCUGGCCGUUUACGGUCCGAGUUGUAAUUUGUAGAGGAUGUUUUGGGUACCGCCACGGUUUAAAUUUCUUGGAACAGAAUGUCAAAGAGGGUGAGAGUCCCGUCUUGGACCGCGGUAGGGCCUGUGUAAAACUCCUUCGACGAGUCGACUUGUUUGGGAAUGCAGGUCAAAAUGGGUGGUAAAUUUCAUCUAAAGCUAAAUAUUGGCCAGAGACCGAUAGCGCACAAGUAGAGUGAUCGAAAGAUGAAAAGCACUUUGAAAAGAGAGUUAAACAGUAUGUGAAAUUGUUGAAAGGGAAGCGCUGGCAACCAGACUCGUGCGCGGGGUUCCCCCUUGCUUCUGCUUGGGUCACUUCCCCGUGUCCGGGCCAUCAUCAGUUUCGGGGGCCGGUUAAAGGCCCUGGGAAUGUAUCCACGCCUUCGGGGGUGGACUUAUAGCCCAGGGUGUCAUGCGGCCACCCGGGACUGAGGAACGCGCUUCGGCGAGGAUGAUGGCGUAAUGGUUGUCAGCGGCCCGUCUUGAAACACGGACCAAGGAGUCUAACAUCUAUGCGAGUGUUCGGGUGUCAAACCCUUGCGCGGAAUGAAAGUGAACGGAGGUAGGAAGGCUUAAGCCUGCACUAUCGACCGAUCCUGAUGUCUUCGGAUGGAUUUGAGUAAGAGCAUAGCUGUUGGGACCCGAAAGAUGGUGAACUAUGCGUGAAUAGGGUGAAGCCAGAGGAAACUCUGGUGGAGGCUCGCAGCGGUUCUGACGUGCAAAUCGAUCGUCAAAUUUGCGUAUAGGGGCGAAAGACUAAUCGAACCAUCUGGUAGCUGGUUCCUGCCGAAGU